ACGCUCGACACCUACGGGAGGCAGCAGUGGGGAAGUAAUUGCACAAUGGGGGAAACCCGUGAUGCAGCGACGCCGCGUGAGCGAAGAAGUAUUUCGGUAUGUAAAGCUCUAUCAGCAGGGAAGAAACUGACGGUACCUGACUAAGAAGCACCGGCUAAAUACGUACCAGCAGCCGCGGUAAUCUGAGCGGGCUGGCAAGGC
rnacentral:rRNA from 1 species